AUUGAACGCUGGCGGCAGGCUUAACACAUGCAAGUCGAGCGAGCGGCGGACGGGUGAGUAAUGUCUGGGAAACUGCCUGAUGGAGGGGGAUAACUACUGGAAACGGUAGCUAAUACCGCAUACUAUCGGAUGAACCCAUAUGGGAUUAGCUAGUUGGUUAGGUAAUGGCUCACCAAGGCGAAGAUCCCUAGCUGGUCUGAGAGGAUGAUCAGCCACAUUGGGCAUGGGACACGGCCCAGACUCCUACGUGAGGCAGCAGUGGGGAAUAUUGCACAAUGGGCGCAAGCCUGAUGCAGCCAUGCCGCGUGUAUGAAUAAGGCCUUAGGGUUGUAAAGUACUUUCAGCGGGGAGGCGUUACCCGCAGAAGAAGCACCGGCUAACUCCGUGCCAGCAGCCGCGGUAAUUG
rnacentral:rRNA from 1 species